UGAGAAGAUUCAAAGACGGAAGCAUAUUUCGUAUUGGCGAGAGAGAUUUUCUCGGCGCCGUUGUAGUAUGAAACUGGCGCUAGACUCGACUUGCUUCUAAAUUCAAUUCCGUUGACCUACAUUAAUGUGCGCGACAGGGUGGAAAGUGUCGGUAACUUUCUGGGAAAAUUUCCUGUAACAGGAGGUGCUCUUUCGUGUUCAAGAGGAAGAGGCAGAGGAGUGGAAAAUAUCUUCUCAAAUCUUGGUGUCAGUUAUAACGUCAAGAUUAUCGUGGGAAGAUGUUCUCCGGGAUUGACAGAUUACGCAAAAUCGUUAUAAAGUAUGAAGCUUCUCGUUAAUUGUUUCAUACAAAAGAAUUCAGUGUAACACUACGGGAUAGAAUUACAGGUUACAUCGAUGCCCGCCUAUUUAUCAGAGACUACCUAACCUAAAAUGCACAAGGCAAAGGAUUUUCAGUGGAUUCGCGGGAUUCGAAAAACAAUCUAUUCGACCCACUCGCUUAUGGUUUUACGCCAAUGCAAAUUAUAAAUUGGACUUGAUUUUCUGCUGUCCUUCACGAGACGCCACAGGCUACUACGGAAAAUUGGUGAAAUCGAGGGAGAGAGAAAAUUUUGGAUACCGGCCAAGAGUACCGUUUUCGGAUAGUCCGUAAGUUUGUUUUCGUGAAUUCAGUUCCUCUUUAUAUGGUAGCACUACCAGGAGCAUCGGUUACUUCCCAAGGAAUAAAGUGAUCAGCUGGAGCCAACGUCAUCCCCUAGUUCCCCUAGAUGCUUGCGUUCGACGUCAACCUCGCGGUCGACAAAGUUCUCCCCCAGCUAAGCCAACUGGAAGUGACUUUAUAAAUAUACGCAGAGUCUUCUUUAUUCGUGGAAAGAAUACAAAACUGUACUUACGACAGCUGCACGAGUACCGAGGAUCAAGCCGUAGAAUGGGAAAAAGGCAAAAAACUGAAGAAGAAGAGAAAAUGAGGAAAUGAGAAAAUCAUUCGAGACAUCUUGAUUGUACAAGGGAAGAAAAUAGAGGCUGAUAACAUUGAACCAUCAGGGAGAAUAAAUAAGCAUUGGACUGUUUAGGUUUGCUUAAUGGCUAAUAACGGAUAUUUCAACUCGUUUAGUAUCACUUGUACCUUCAACCUCAUUGACUUGGCAUUGCCAACCUUUUCGAGCCACCCUCGCCUUAUUCUCAUUGAUAAUGUUACUUUUUCAGAGAUCCUCCAUCUUGCUCGAGUCCACGUGUAUACACUACCUACCAUCCAGCCUCCCUGCUGGCUUGCCCUUCCUUCAUCCAAUACAUCCGAUUCCCCUUAAGCCCCAUUUUCAAGCUGCUUCCUACCACCGACCUAUCAUUACUACCCUACCAUACUAGCACUCCUGGUCCAGUUAUAGCAAGGCUGGAAGGUACCUGUCGCGCUCGAAGCCUUGAUAACGCUCUUGCUUGAACGACAUUUUCCGCCCUUAAGCACCUGAUUUACAUUGAAAAUACGACGAGGCCUGCGCACUUCCUAUCAAAGAGUGCAUAUAACCUAUAUACUUUCAAUCUUGAACGUGUUACACGUGUAAAGAGCUCCAACGCAUUUCCGCUAAAGUUUCCUCAGGAUGAGAAGCUGCUCGAACUCUGUGAUAAUGUGGUAGCUAUCUGCUAAAGGGAUUAUGGAGGAGAUGAAGAGGAAAUUAACAAAAGCAACCUUCGAUGCAAGAAUCGUCGUCGCCGUGGUCGUCCAUAACUAGGACUAAAUACACAGCAGAUCGCCUCAGCAAGCAAGGAAAAAUAGCCAAUAUUCUCUCGCGUUUCCAUGUGAACUACCGAUUUAUUUUCUUUCUCAAUUCGACCGCCGGCGCCUGCAACCUUACGAGUUCGAACUGCACACUCGUACUGAAAGUGUAGGACGUCUCUUUGUCAGACACUCUUUUGCCGCUUCACUAUAAAUGACGUUCGCUGUAACGUUGGACGCCCGGUUGUUCUCGCGUAAACAUUUGUCGCCAUACUCUACCUUGCAUUUUACUCACCUACGUCACGCCGAUAUUCACCGCGGUUUGGCAAUAAAGCUGGCUACUGUGAACGAGACUGGCAAUCAGCCCCUGUUUACCAUCCCUUUUCGAAUUCAUUAACGGUCGCUCUUUUUUUUCAAUACUCUGUCAAAUACAGCUCAGCUAUAGAUAUAUUGUACAGUCGACUCUGCAAUGAAAAUAUGUAAAAACUGUAUUGAAAUAUUAAGGUGAACAGAGUCGCCUUGAGGCACUAUUACAUGAAUAAAAAUAUAUUAAUUUUGAGCAUGCGCCGAACCGCAGGCAGAAGUGCUGGACACUUGCAGAUGUUACUAUCUCAUAUACAAACGACACUUGAUUUUCCCUGUAAUUCCAAUACCCUAUUGGCUGAGCAAUUCCGUCAGAAUUUCUAAUAUGGUUAUUAACUUUUAAUAUUUGCGCAUGCGCUGUUUUAAAACCAGAAAUGCCCAAUACCUGCAAACGUUAUUCUUACAUCUACGACCGAGACUUGUUAUUUCUGUGAAUUUCAACCCGAUCGAUUUAACGUUUUGCUCAGUAUCUUUUAUACGGAGCAAAGAUACAUAUAACCACGUAAUUUUUUUUUUCACUUGCGAUUGCAGCUCUCGCAUACUCGAUACUGUCAUUUGUCAAAAUGAAAUUUCAUAAUUUUCCUCGUAUUUAUGUUUUUCUCGUUCCAACAUGAUCGAUGGACAUCUGCUCGAGUCUGUUCGAGUCUUAGAUUUGCAGUGCAGACCCGAGGGUGUAACCUUGCCCAGUAUAACCCCUGCUUCGGGGUAACGUGAGACAUCAGAUUCGCCGUGGUGUAUAACUUAAAAACAAAAAGGUAGCAGUAACCAAGCCAAAAAAAAAACCGCUCAUAACGAUUACCGGCAGGUACUCAAGAAUUAAAUAAAAAGCGCGCAGCUUAAUUUACCCGGAAGCUCGUCGUAGUGCCUACGUAGUAUACAGAUUCGCGGACCUCACGGUUCACCCGGAUAAAUCUGCAGUUGACGGGUGGUACUUGCAGCUUGAAAAAGCUCAGAAAGUUUAUCAAGGCUUGACUUACUGGCGAAACGAAAGAUUUCAUCUAAAUAUCGUACAGCCAAGUUAUACGUAUAUACAGCCCCCGUGUACCAUCUCAUGGUACCAUACCCACUUCAUCUCGGAUCAUCUAUCUAAUUUAUCUAUCUAAGAUAAAAAUAUCUAGGUAAAAAAUUACCAUCUUCCCUGAGUGAGAAGAAGAAGCUUAUUGACGAAUUAUACAGUGAAAAGUUAUUCCCUGGGUAUGGCCCAUCCUCGUAACAAUGAAAUUACAUUGCAUCCUAAAAUUGCAAAUUCCCCAAAGCAGGAAUGACAAAUUGCUAGAAAUAUGUAAAUACGAUAAGGUGUGGAAAUACAUAAAACUCUGAAUUGUG